rnacentral:rRNA from 1 species
GUCCACGCCUAACGAUGCGACUGGACGUGGUGCAAUUGAGCAUUCAGUGUCGAAGCUAACGCGUUAAGUUCGCCGCCUGGGAGUACGGUCGCAAGACUGAACUCAAGGAUUGACGGGCCGGCACAAGCGGUGGAGUAUGUGGUUAAUUCGAUGCAACGCGCAGAACCUUACCUGGUCUUGACAUCCACGGAACCUUUGCAGAGAUGCGGGGGUGCCUUCGGGAACCGUGAGACAGGUGCUGCAUGGCUGUCGU